rnacentral:rRNA from 1 species
GUGUCAUCAGCCGCGGUAAUACGAAGGGGGCUAGCGUUGUACGGAAUUACUGGGCGUAAAGCGCGCGUAGGCGGAUUGGUCAGUCAGGGGUGAAAUCCCGGGGCUUAACCUCGGAACUGCCUUUGAUACUGCCAGUCUCGAGUCCGGAAGAGGUGAGUGGAAUUCCUAGUGUAGAGGUGAAAUUCGUAGAUAUUAGGAAGAACACCGGUGGCGAAGGCGACUCACUGGUCCGGUACUGACGCUGAGGCGCGAAAGCGUGGGGAGCAAACAGGAUUAGAUACCCUGGUAGUCCACGCCGUAAACGAUGGGUGCUAGCUGUUGGGGAGCCUAGCUCUUCAGUGGCGCAGCUAACGCGUUAAGCACCCCGCCUGGGGAGUACGGCCGCAAGGUUAAAACUCAAAUGAAUUGACGGGG